rnacentral:lncRNA from 1 species
AAAAACAUUACUCAAUCAAAUGAUUCAUUUUAAGAAUUUGAUUUUCGUUUUGCAACCGCAAUAUUUGAUUCUUCAAAUCAGCUACUACACCCUGCUUAUCAAACAAAUCAUUUAAAAAAAAGGAAAUUAAACAGAAAUAUCACAACAACACUCACAAAAUAUUCAAAAGUUAAAUAAAUAAAUUUUACAUAACCCUUGGAAGGGAAACCACUUCAUCCUCCACAAAAUUCUUUGUUCAUGAUAACAUGAUCAACAAUGGUUGGCUACAAUAUCAAAAAUAACAAAAUUAAGUAAAUAAAUUACAAAAAAUUAAUAUAAAAAUCAAAAGCAUAAUU